AUCCACAGCUCAAUACUUCAAUGAAUAUGCUGCUCUUAAAAACCGAAAGGAUAUGUCCUGGUUCAGAGGAGACAUCAAACAUAGCAUGUUUGCUGUUCAUACCACCGUCCACCACCCUUAAGGCUGAAGAACGCAGCAUAAAAGAUUUGACGUCCUUCAAAAGCAGAGACCACGGCCAGUAUUAUUCUUCAUGUCAGAAGUUACUCCGAUAUCUGUACUAUGGUAACAAGUAAGCUAACAAAAUUUCUAUAAUAUGGGCUCACUGUCACCUUUUAUAAUUAUUGUCGGUGAAUCCAUUGAUGCAUGGAUGUUUAAAUUGUAUUCUUAAGUUACUUCUCAUCAAGCAAAAUAUUGUCUAAUAUUACUUUAAUGUGUAAAUUACAUUAGGUACGAUAUAUUCCUGAUAUGACCUACGCAUCAAAGAUAUCGAUGAUCAUAGAUAUUGACAAUUUUUUAACUAAAAAUCAUUUCCAAUUACUGAAAUACUUAAAAUGGCCUUGGGUUAAGACACAUUUUAUUUUGUCUAGUAAGUGUUUUGGGUGUGAUUUUUUGACGGUUUGUAAUGAAGCUCAACCAGAACAUUUUAUAAUAGAAAACGAACAAUAUGUAAAGAAUUUAUUGCACUUUAAUUUUUUUUGGUGUAAAAACUGUUUAGAGUGUAGCAUUUAUGAUCAUUUUCCCGAUGAUGAAUGUGAAUUAUGUUUGAUUUAGAUCUAUUUAAAAGUUUAUAUGACGGUAUUAUUGGGUUGUAUAAAAGUUAGGUCAUUACAUACCUAUUAUCUUAGCUUAUUCUAUAUUUAUUAUCUUAUGUUCUGGCUAAUCAACUAAAAGUAUAAAUUUAUGUAAAGUAACUUGCUAACAUUACAAUAACUGUCAUUUGUUUUUUUAUGUAAACAAUGUAUUAACAAACACAGUUUCUUGAUAUUGUGUACUAGUUUUAAGAUUAAUUCUUAUAACAGAGUAGUUUGUUACCUGAAAUGACUGUAUGGUGUACUGAAUAAAGCUAAUUUCGUAUGUACA